GAUGAACGCUAGCUACAGGCUUAACACAUGCAAGUCGAGGGGCAGCAUGAUCGAAGCUUGCUUUGAUUGAUGGCGACCGGCGCACGGGUGAGUAACGCGUAUCCAACCUUCCCUAUAGUAGAGGAUAGCCCGGCGAAAGUCGGAUUAAUACUCUAUGUUUUCCAAUGCAGACAUCUAAGUCGUAACAAGGUAACCUAAUCCAGACACAGUAGCGCUGCUCAGGAUUAUUGUGAACAUACCUGCUCGCAGCUGCUGCAAUACAGCUGCUGCCCAGUGCUGCGGGGGGGGGGGGAUCCCCAAAAACACGCCCGGGGCUGGGAAUUAGAUGCUGCGGGGUAUAAAGUCGGGUUUUCGGGCGGGGGCUCCCCGUGAUGAAAUUAGGGGGGAGGGUUGGGCUAGGGCGUUAACCGCCCCAGCCCCGCGGGUCGAUAAAAAUCAAAGCAAGAUCUCGAGCCUGCUGCCUGUCGAAUUGCUAUGCUGUCAGCUUGUCCGCUUAUGCGGUUGAUCCUAUUGAGCAGGCUAUGACGUAUUCAUCAUGUCGGGGGCG
rnacentral:rRNA from 1 species